GAUGAACGCUGGCGGCGUGCCUAAUACAUGCCAGUCGAGCGAACGGACGAGAAGCUUGCUUCUCUGAUGUUAGCGGCGGAAGGGUGAGUAACACGUGGAUAACCUACCUAUAAGACUGGGAUAACUUCGGGAAACCGGAGCUAAUACCGGAUAAUAUUUUGAACGGCAUGGUUCAAAAGUGAAAGACGGUCUUGCUGUCACUUAUAGGUGGAUCCGCGCUGCAUUAGCUAGUUGGUAAGGUAACGGCUUACCAAGGCAACGAUGCAUAGCCGACCUGAGAGGGUGAUCGGCCACACUGGAACUGAGACACGGUCCAGACUCCUACGGGAGGCAGCAGUAGGGAAUCUUCCGCAAUGGGCGAAAGCCUGACGGAGCAACGCCGAGUGAGUGAUGAAGGUCUUCGGAUCGUAAAACUCUGUUAUUAGGGAAGAACAUAUGUGUAAGUAACUGUGCACAACUUGACGGUACCUGAUCAGAAAGCCACGGCUAACUACGUG
rnacentral:rRNA from 1 species